CCUAAAUCAUUGGAACAAGACUUAAUACCCAUGACUAUUGGUUGGGCACAAAUUUGGACUGGCCUUGAGUUCAAUCCAAGGUCAAUUAUUGCUAAAAGACAAGCCUCUUGAUUUGUGGAUCACCCUAAGCCACUUCCAGCUCUAGGCGAUCAUGGCAAAUCAGCUCGUCACAUUGCCAUUUUGGGUGUCUCCAAAUCUUGGUACUGUAACCUCUAAAAUAUACCAACAAAUUUAACUGAAGCAAAAGUAGCCAUGGCUUCCACCAAACCCUACGUUUAGAAUUUUAUUUUUCCAUGCAUUAGUGCAAACAGGUGG
rnacentral:lncRNA from 1 species